UACAGAGGAGCCAAGCGUUGUCCGGAUUGACUGGGCGUAAAGCGCACGCAGGCGGUUGCGCGCGGGGGGUGUGAAAUCUGGCCGCUUAACGGCCAGGCGCCAUCCCAUACGGCGCGACUGGAGUGAUGCAGAGGUCGAUGGAAUUGCCGGUGUAGUGGUGAAAUGCGUAGAGAUCGGCAGGAACACCCAGGGGGAAACCAGUCGACUGGGCAUCUACUGACGCUGAGGUGCGAGAGCGUGGGGAGCGAGCCGG
rnacentral:rRNA from 1 species